rnacentral:lncRNA from 1 species
GGUGUCAGCCCCCCGCCCGGCCAGCCGCCCCGUCCGGGAGGGAGGUGGGGGUGUCAGCCCCCCGCCCGGCCAGCCGCCCCGUCUGGGAGGUGAGGGGCGCCUCUGCCCGGCCGCCCAUACUGGGAAGUGAGGAGCCCCUGUGCCCGGCCAGCCGCCCCGUCCGGGAGGGAGGUUGGGGGGUCAGCCCCCCGCCCGGCCAGCCGCCCCGUCCGGGAGGUGAGGGGCGC